AACGAACGCUGGCGGCAUGCCUAACACAUGCAAGUCGAACGAGACCUUCGGGUCUAGUGGCGCACGGGUGCGUAACGCGUGGGAACCUGCCCUUAGGUUCGGAAUAACUCCCCGAAAGGGGUGCUAAUACCGGAUAAUGUCUUCGGGCCAAAGAUUUAUCGCCUUUGGAUGGGCCCGCGUUGGAUUAGCUAGUUGGUAGGGUAAAAGCCUACCAAGGCGACGAUCCAUAGCUGGUCUGAGAGGAUGAUCAGCCACACUGGGACUGAGACACGGCCCAGACGACGAAGGGAGGCAGCAGAAGGGAAUAUUGCGAGAGGGGCGAGAGCGGGAUGGAGCAACGGGGCGGGAGUGAGGAAGGGCUGAGGAUCGGAAAACAAGGUUAUGAUGGAAGAACAAAUGUGUAAGUAACUCUGAACGGCUGGACGGGAGCGAAUCAGAAAGCCACGGCUAACGCAGUG
rnacentral:rRNA from 1 species